rnacentral:rRNA from 1 species
GCAGAACAGCUGGCGGCGUGCUUAACACAUGCAAGUCGAACGGAAAGGCCCUUCGGGGUGCUCGAGUGGCGAACGGGUGAGUAACACGUGGGUGAUCUGCCCUGCACUUUGGGAUAAGCCUGGGAAACUGGGUCUAAUACCGGAUAGGACCAUGGGAUGCAUGUUCUGUGGUGGAAAGCUUUUGCGGUGUGGGAUGGGCCCGCGGCCUAUCAGCUUGUUGGUGGGGUGAUGGCCUACCAAGGCGACGACGGGUAGCCGGCCUGAGAGGGUGUCCGGCCACACUGGGACUGAGAUACGGCCCAGACUCCUACGGGAGGCAGCAGUGGGGAAUAUUGCACAAUGGGCGCAAGCCUGAUGCAGCGACGCCGCGUGAGGGAUGACGGCCUUCGGGUUGUAAACCUCUUUCAGUACCGACGAAGCGGAAGUGACGGUAGGUACAGAAGAAGCACCGGCCAACUACGUGCCAGCAGCCGCGGUAAUACGUAGGGUGCGAGCGUUGUCCGGAAUUACUGGGCGUAAAGAGCUCGUAGGUGGUUUGUCGCGUUGUUCGUGAAAACUCACAGCUUAACUGUGGGCGUGCGGGCGAUACGGGCAGACUGGAGUACUGCAGGGGAGACUGGAAUUCCUGGUGUAGCGGUGGAAUGCGCAGAUAUCAGGAGGAACACCGGUGGCGAAGGCGGGUCUCUGGGCAGUAACUGACGCUGAGGAGCGAAAGCGUGGGGAGCGAACAGGAUUAG